rnacentral:rRNA from 1 species
GGGCCCGCACAAGCGGAGGAGCAUGUGGUUUAAUUCGAUGAUACGCGAGGAACCUUACCUGGGCUUGAAUGCUAUACUCCCGCAAGGGAGGUGAUUGCAGAAAUGUAGUUGAAAAUUGCAAGGUGCUGCAUGGCUGUCGUCAGCUCGUGCCGUGAGGUGUCGGGUUAAGUCCCAUAACGAGCGCAACCCCUAUUGUUAGUUGCCAUCAGGUAAUGCUGGGCACUCUAGCGAAACUGCCUACGCAAGUAGUGAGGAAGGUGGGGAUGACGUCAAGUCAGCACGGCCCUUACGCCCAGGGCUACACACGUGCUACAAUGGUCGGUACAGAGGGCAGCUACCAGGUGACUGGAUGCAAAUCUCUAAAACCGAUCUCAGUUCGGAUCGAAGUCUGCAACUCGACUUCGUGAAGUUGGAUUCGCUAGUAAUCGGAUAUCAGCAAUGAUCCGGUGAAUACGUUCCCGGGCCUU